UGAGAAUCCCGUCCAUGACACGGACACCCAGUGCUAUGUGAUACGUUUUCAAAGAGUCGAGUUGUUUGGGAAUGCAGCUCAAAAUGGGUGGUAAGCUCCAUCUAAAGCUAAAUAUUGGCGAGAGACCGAUAGCGAACAAGUACCGUGAGGGAAAGAUGAAAAGCACUUUGGAAAGAGAGUUAAACAGUACGUGAAAUUGUUGAAAGGGAAACGCUUGAAGUUAGUCGCGUCUUACUUGACUCAGCCUUGCUUCGGCUUGGUGUAUUUCAUGUGAGACGGGUCAACAUCGAUUUUGACCGGCAGACAAGGGGAGUAAGAAUGUGGCACUCUUCGGAGUGUGUUAUAGCUUAUUCUCAUAUGUGUCGGUUGGGAUCGAGGACCGCAGCGCGCCCUUGUGGCCGGAGGUUCGCCUCACGUUACGCGCUUAGGAUGUUGGCAUAAUGGCUUUAAGCGACCCGUCUUGAAACACGGACCAAGGAGUCUAACAUGCUCGCGAGUGUUAGGGUGGAAAACCCUUGCGCAGAAUGAAAGUAAAAGUUGGGAACCUCCGCAAGGGGGCGCACCGACGCCCGGCCCAGAAGUUUACGGACGGUGCUGCGGUAGAGCGCGUAUGUUGGGACCCGAAAGAUGGUGAACUAUGCCUGAAU
rnacentral:rRNA from 1 species